UGAAAAGCUGCUACCCUUUUUAAUGUUCACCUGAUGUUCUUCAUGUAGAGAAACUGCAUUGCUGUAUUCUAGUAACUCACUCUCCAUCCAGUUGUCAAAGAAAAAACUCAGCCAUGCUGAGGGAAACCCAACAGGGUUCCUGAAGCUGAAGGCAGCCAGCACUCUGUAAUCAGGCUUCAAACAGACCUAACAAUCUCAACAAAAGAAGCCCCUCAGAAAGUUGAAAAAUGUCAAUGCAAAGUGUUCCUGUACUUUCAACUUAAACCCAAAACAUGACUACUAUUUCUAUACUCCUUUUCAGAAGAAA